rnacentral:rRNA from 1 species
UACGAAGGGGGCUAGCGUUGCUCGGAAUCACUGGGCGUAAAGCGCACGUAGGCCGAUUGUUAAGUCAGGGGUGAAAUCCUGGAGCUCAACUCCAGAACUGCCUUUGAUACUGAGGAUCUUGAGUUCGGGAGAGGUGAGUGGAACUGCGAGUGUAGAGGUGAAAUUCGUAGAUAUUCGCAAGAACACCAGUGGCGAAGGCGGCUCACUGGCCCGAUACUGACGCUGAGGCACGAAAGCGUGGGGAGCAAACAGG